rnacentral:rRNA from 1 species
UACGGAGGGUGCAAGCGUUAUUCGGAAUUAUUGGGCGUAAAGCGCGUGUAGGCGGUCUUUUAAGUCUGAUGUGAAAGCCCUGGGCUCAACCCAGGAAGUGCAUUGGAAACUGGGAGACUUGAAUACGGGAGAGGGUAGUGGAAUUCCUAGUGUAGGAGUGAAAUCCGUAGAUAUUAGGAGGAACACCGGUGGCGAAGGCGGCUACCUGGACCGAUAUUGACGCUGAGACGCGAAAGCGGUGGGGAGAC